rnacentral:RNase_P_RNA from 1 species
AAAGUUUGACAGACAAUCGCUGGCGGCUUCGUGCCGCGAGAGGAAAGUCCGGGCUCCAUAGGGCGAUGAUGCUGGAUAACGUCCAGUCGGCGCGAGCCGAAGGAUAGUGCCACAGAAAUGGACCGCCGAUGGCUGCGUCUUGACGCAGCACAGGCAAGGGUGGAACCGUGGUGUAAGAGACCACGAGGACCGUUGGUGACAACGGUGCUGGUAAACCCCAUCUGGAGCAAGACCGAGAGAACGCAGCAGCUUCGCGCUGCAUCCCUGCCCGGGACGCGUUCGGGUUGGUCGCUUGAGCUGAUUAGCAAUGAUCGGCCUAGAUAGAUGAUUGUCGCUUCACAAGUGGAAGGGUAGUUCCCGUUAUACCACGCGAAGUACAGAACCCGGCUUACGGCAAGCUUUCCAU